GAUGAACGCUAGCGGCAGGCUUAACACAUGCAAGUCGAGGGGUAUGCCGAUUUAUCGGCAGAGACCGGCGCACGGGUGCGUAACGCGUAUGCAAUCUACCUUUCACAGAGGGAUAGCCCAGAGAAAUUUGGAUUAAUACCUCAUAGUAUAGCAAUUUCGCAUGAAACCACUAUUAAAGUUCCAACGGUGAAAGAUGAGCAUGCGUCCCAUUAGCUAGAUGGUAAGGUAACGGCUUACCAUGGCUACGAUGGGUAGGGGUCCUGAGAGGGAGAUCCCCCACACUGGUACUGAGACACGGACCAGACUCCUACGGGAGGCAGCAGUGAGGAAUAUUGGACAAUGGGCGCAAGCCUGAUCCAGCCAUGCCGCGUGCA
rnacentral:rRNA from 1 species